rnacentral:misc_RNA from 1 species
GAUUUAAUGGGCGUCACGUCUGGUAAUGCAAGUACUAUCAUAGAUUCUCCUUCAAUCUUUUUUCUCUUCAAACCUCCGCCGGCGCACUAUAUACUCCAACACCAUUUUAUAUUUCUUCCUUGCUCCGUGAUAGAACAGUGAUCCUGCCGCAGCCGCGGAACUAUAGCGGCACUAGGCUCUUCGUUAACUCUUCCCCCCUUCGGGCGGACUCCAUCACUAGCUCUUCGAUUUUCACGGGCGUGAAAGGAGGUCCGCUCUGUGCUGGAGUACGGGAGAAACUAAGCUGGAACAAGUGUACUGGCUUAGUCUUUCGUCGACUGAAAACUGAUUUUUCCCUUUCAGGGGGAUACCAAAGACAACGGGGUCUUCUACAGCUUUGGGUUUCUGUAUGAAUCGGUGACAGGGAUUAGCUACUAGGCCGAACUACACUGUGCAAUGGAUCUAUCAUAUACCAAAACAACAGAAGAAGUCUUAGGUUAUUUCGGUGUCGACGAAAAUGUUGGACUUAAUGAAGAGCAAGUAAAGAAGAACUUAGAGAAAUAUGGACCAAACGAACUGCCGGCGGAGGAAGGCAAGCCGCUGUGGGAACUUAUUUUGGAGCAAUUCGACGAUCUGCUGGUCAAGAUUUUACUUUUAGCUGCGGUGAUUUCCUUCGUACUGGCAUGGUUUGAAGAAGAUACUGAACAAGUGACAGCAUUUGUGGAACCCUUUGUCAUCCUGACCAUCUUGAUCUGUAAUGCCAUUGUUGGAGUGUGGCAGGAACGAAAUGCAGAGAGUGCCAUUGAAGCCCUUAAAGAGUAUGAACCCGAAAUUGCCAAAGUCAUACGCAGUGGCAUCAAGGGUGUUCAGAAGAUCAAAGCCAGCAACCUGGUUCCUGGUGACAUUGUUGAGGUCUCUGUGGGUGACAAAGUGCCAGCUGACAUCAGAAUUAUCAAAAUCAACUCCACCACCCUGAGAGUGGAUCAGUCCAUUUUGACAGGAGAAAGUGUGAGUGUAAUGAAACACACCGACCCCAUCCCAGACCCAAGGGCUGUAAACCAAGACAAGAAGAACAUCCUUUUCUCGGGAACCAACAUAGCGGCAGGAAAAUGCAGAGGUGUUGUGAUUGGAACCGGCUUGGCCACAGAAAUUGGCAAGAUUCGCAAUGAAAUGAUGGAUACAGAGCAAGAGAAGACCCCUCUGCAGCAAAAAUUGGAUGAGUUCAGCAAUCAGCUGUCUAAGGUUAUCACAAUCAUCUGCAUAGCUGUUUGGGCCAUCAACAUUGGCCACUUCAAUGACCCUGCUCAUGGUGGAUCUUGGAUCAAGGGUGCCAUCUACUACUUCAAGAUUGCUGUUGCCUUGGCUGUAGCUGCCAUCCCCGAGGGUCUGCCUGCUGUGAUCACCACUUGUUUGGCUCUUGGCACACGUCGUAUGGCCAAAAAGAAUGCCAUUGUGCGUAGCUUGCCAUCUGUGGAGACCCUGGGUUGUACAUCUGUCAUCUGCUCAGACAAGACUGGAACCUUGACCACAAAUCAGAUGUCUGUGUGCAAAGCCUUUAUCUUCAGCCAGAUUGAUACGAACCAGAUCAAGACAACACAGUUUGAGAUCACUGGGUCUACAUAUGCCCCAGAAGGAGAACUGUACCAGAAUGGAAAAAAAGUAAAGUCCAGUGAGUUCCCAGGUUUGGAAGAGCUGUGCACUAUUUGUGCCAUGUGCAAUGAUUCAAGUGUUGAUUACAAUGAGGCCAAAGACCAGUAUGAGAAAGUAGGAGAGGCCACGGAGACUGCACUGACAGUUCUGGUGGAGAAACUCAAUUUCUACAACACCGACAAGUCUGGUCUUAACAAACGUGAAAUGGGCACAGUCUGCAACCACAUAAUCCAGGACAUGUGGAGGAAAGAGUUUACGCUGGAGUUUUCCCGUGACCGCAAGUCCAUGAGUGUGUAUUGUGUUCCUAACAAGCCCACUCGCGUACCUGGUGGUGCUCGCAUGUUUGCAAAGGGAGCUCCUGAAGGUCUGCUAGACCGCUGCACACACGUGCGCAUUGGCCACAACAAGGUGCCCAUGUCUCCUGCCAUCAAAAAUGAGAUCAUGAAGCUGACUAAAAUCUACGGUACAGGGCGUGACACACUGCGUUGCUUGGCACUGGCCACCAUUGACAAUCCUCCUCGCCGUGAAGACAUGGAUCUAGAAGACUCCCGCAAAUUCAUUGAGUAUGAGACCAACAUGACAUUUGUGGGAGUGGUAGGCAUGCUGGAUCCCCCUCGAGAAGAGGUCCAGGAGUCCAUUCGUCGUUGCCGUGAUGCUGGCAUUCGUGUCAUCGUCAUCACUGGUGACAACAAGGCUACUGCUGAAGCCAUUUGCCGCCGCAUUGGAAUCUUUACUGAAAAUGAAAACACAGAAGGCAUGUCUUACACUGGCCGUGAGUUUGAUGAGCUUUCUCCAGAAGACCAGCGAGCAGCAGUGAUGAGAGCACGUCUUUUUGCCCGAGUAGAGCCUGCACACAAGAGCAAGAUUGUGGAGUACUUACAAUCUGAGGGAGAGAUCUCAGCCAUGACAGGUGAUGGUGUGAACGAUGCUCCAGCACUCAGGAAGGCUGAGAUUGGUAUUGCCAUGGGAUCCGGAACAGCUGUGGCCAAAUCUGCUGCAGAGAUGGUGUUGGCAGACGAUAACUUUUCAACCAUUGUGUCAGCUGUAGAGGAGGGGCGAGCUAUUUACAACAACAUGAAACAGUUCAUUCGCUACUUGAUUUCCUCCAACAUUGGAGAAGUAGUUUGCAUUUUCCUCACAGCUGCCCUUGGCAUCCCAGAAGCUUUAAUUCCAGUGCAGCUUUUGUGGGUCAACUUGGUGACAGACGGAUUCCCAGCCACUGCCCUCGGAUUUAACCCCCCUGAUCUCGACAUUAUGAAAAAACCACCCCGCAAUCCUCGUGAAAGCCUUAUCACUGGCUGGCUUUUCUUCCGUUAUAUGGCCAUUGGAAUCUAUGUCGGUUGUGCCACCGUGGGAGCUGCAGCAUGGUGGUUCAUGUUGUAUGAUAAAGGCCCACGUCUUAACUACUACCAGCUAACACAUCAUAUGCAGUGUCCAGCUGAGCCUCGGAUGUUCAAGGGCGUCAACUGUGACAUCUUCCAGGCCCCAGAACCCAUGACUAUGGCACUAUCUGUUUUAGUAACCAUUGAAAUGCUAAACGCCUUAAACAGACCCAUCAGGCCCAGUGCUUGGCUCAGGACGAAAUGUUUGCCGGCAUCGAUUGUGAUGUGUUCAGCCACCCGAAGCCAAUGACUAUGGCCCUGUCGGUGCUUGUGGUCAUUGAGAUGCUCAACGCCUUGAACAGCUUGAGUGAGAAUCAGUCUCUGACGGUCAUGCCUCCUUGGAUUAACAAGUGGCUGGUGGGCGCCAUCUGUCUUUCCAUGAUUCUUCAUUUCCUCAUCCUUUAUGUCGAUGUCAUGUCC